UAGACAGAUAUCCAUUUUGCCGCCCCCUGCCCAAGGGAUAUUUGGCAAUGUCUGGAAGGCCUGGAAACAUUUUCAGUUGUCACAACUUGGGGGAGGGGGACAAAGGAGGAUGGUACUACUAGCAUCUAUUGAGUAGAGGCCAGGGAUGCUGCUAAAAAUCCUACAAUGUACAGGACAGUCCCCCACGGCAAAGAAUUAUCUGGCCCCAAAUGUCCAUAGUGCCAAGGUUGAGGAAUACAUAUGAUUAAGCAAAUAAAUAUGUUAAUGCAAUAAGGAACCAAGAUUUUCAGUAUAAAAGAGACACAAAUACAAAGCAAAAAAGUAACAACUCCACACUCUUUACUUUCAAUUAGAUGUGUCAGUGUAAAGACAUACACUUCUUUCUUUCUAAACAAUGCAUUUUCCUACUUCUGUCUACAUAAAAGCUCUAAAAGCCAUGAUAACCCAGUAAUAAUGAGUAACCAUAGUACCAGAUAUCAUUUCCCACUAAAGGAAGCUAGGCUUUUUACAGAAAUGACUAUUUCCAUGUUUGGAGCAAGAAAUUUACAAAAUUAGCCAAAGAGUCCUCUGGCUAAAGAUAAGACAAUUUGAGCAUUAAAAUAAAUAUAUAUAUUAACAAAGUAUAUUUAUUCAUAUAUAUUUCACGUGUUAUUUACAUGCACUAAAUAAUAUUUAUUUUGAUGGCCAAAUGAUAUAAAUUUAUAAUGGCUUCAUUUGCAAAAUGGAGAUUGCCAGGGUACCAAUCACUAUUCUAAGUUUCUGAAGGAAAGGAAUCAAGUACUUCUAUUUCCUGGCCUGUAAAAACUGUAUUUCAGGGUAAUCAAAUAGUUGAUGAAAUAGUUCUUUAUGGGAGAAUUUCAGCUAAUAAAAGCAGAAGGAACAUCUAAUAAAAUAACAGAUGAUCCUAAGCAAGGGUCAUCAAUGGCUGCUAAAGCACUUACAUAAAAGGUUGAUAAAGAUCUUUAAAAUAGAAGGAUUCUGAUUCAAAACAUUAUUCUACUGAUCAAUCUCAGUAUUUCUAAAAGUGGGACAAACCAACAAGAUACAGUAAGAAGUACACAACACCGUCUACAAAAUAUUCUUGUCAAAGACUCAUACUUAAAUAUAAUAAAGCCAGAUUAUAGGGAAAAUAGGAUAAAGGAAUAUGUUAAACCACACCACGAGGAAGCAAAUUGGCAUAUUCAGGAUGUGGGACAUUCUAGAACAGGACUUGGCAAACAAUAGCCAAAGCCUGUUUUUGUACAGCCUGUGAACUAAGAAAGGUUUUUUUUCUGUUUGUUUUUUACAUUUUAAAAGGGUUAUUAGAGAAAAAGAGGGAGAAAGAUAAAGAAUAUGUGACAGAGACCUAUUUAUUAUGCUGACCCUUGUUCUAGAAGACAAAAGACCUGGAUUCUACACAAAGAAAAUGAUUAACUGCCAUGUGAUCCUGAGAAGUCCAUCUCAUCCACGCUGCAGACCACAAGCAAAGGAAUUGUCAUAAAGUUCUAAUGCCCUUAUUUCUGAACAAAAACACUUGAUGCUUAGGCUUUCUAAGCUUAAUCCAACCCCAAAUUGGUGAUAACUAUGGAGACAGCUCCAACUUUCCAUCUAAUUGCAAUUCAUUCUCAUAUGUAAAGAAGGCAUGUAAGUACCCAAUGAAAAGAUCAGAAAGCAAGUCAUCUUUGUUCAAGAUCUGACUCAAUGCAGUGUUCUAACAGCAGGCUAUCAUUUUAUUGUGUUCAUUUCUAGACACUGAAACUGUCCUUACCAGCAAACCCUGUUGUGUUUUGCUUUUGUUCUUUCUUUGUGACUGACAUACUGUCACCCGAAAUGAUAGCAUUCUUUACAUUAUUACCUCUACAUUGCUUUUUUCAUACUUCUGGAGUUCCAUCAACUGUGAGUAACUUAAAAUUAGAUAACUGGACACAUUUUAACCUUUUUUCAGUUACCUUAUUAAGGCCCUGCUUAUAACUACUGUAACCUUGUUGCCUAGGCACAAGGCAAAACUAUAGCUUCAGUGAUUAAAAAAGAGAAAAAUUAAACUAAAUCGCUCACAAAACUUAAAACAUAUAAAAGAAGGCAUGAGGGCUGGCCAAGUCCAGAACUCUCUCUGACUCCACACUAGGUGACAGCCCAGCCUCCAUUCACUAACCCCACAGUCCACCUUCCUCCAACCAGACGAUGCUUCUAAUUUUACCUUGUAAAUAUGUCAUGCUAGUUUUACUCUCCAAACCUGUUAUAGUUUUCUCAUUUGUAGUAAGUCCUAAUCAUCUACAUAACUUAUAAGUAAACAGAUUUAAUUCUAAGCUCUCAAAAAAAAAAAAA